rnacentral:rRNA from 1 species
CCUACGGGAGGCAGCAGUGAGGAAUAUUGGUCAAUGGACGGAAGACUGAACCAGCCAUGCCGCGUGCAGGAAGACGGUUCUGAGAGUUGUAAACCGCUUUUGUACGGGGGCAAAGGCAGGUACGUGUAUCCGUCUGAAUGUAUCUUACGAAUAAGGAUCGGCUAACUCCGUGCCAGCAGCCGCGGUACUACGGAGGAUUCAAGCGUUAUCCGGAUUUAUUGGGUUUAAAGGGUGCGUAGGCGGUCGGAUAAGUUAGAGGUGAAAUCCCGAGGCUCAACUUCGGAAUUGACUUUGAUAUUGGCAGGCUAGAGAGUAGUAGCGGUAGGCGGAAUGUAUGGUGUAGCGGUGAAAUGCUUAGAGAUCGUACAGAACACCGAUUGCGAAGGCAGCAUACCAAGCUAAUUCUGACGUUGAGGCACGAAAGCGUGGGGAGCAAACAGGAUUAGAUACCCGAGUAGUC